CUUAAACUAUCAAGUGAUUUUGUUUUUAGUUUCUCUUUCAAAUUUUGCUACAGUUUAAAAGAGAGACUAAAAACAAAAUUGUUUGAUAGUUUAGGAAC
rnacentral:pre_miRNA from 1 species